rnacentral:rRNA from 1 species
UACGGGAGGCAGCAGUGGGGAAUAUUGCACAAUGGGCGAAAGCCUGAUGCAGCUAUGCCGCGUGUAUGAAGAAGGCCUUAGGGUUGUAAAGUACUUUCAUCGGGGAGGAAAAACAAAACUAAUAAUUUUAUUUCUUGACGUUACCCGAAAAAGAAGCACCGGCUAACUCCGUGCCAGCAGCCGCGGUAAUACGGAGGGUGCUAGCGUUAAUCAGAAUUACUGGGCGUAAAGAGCACGUAGGUGGUUUUUUUAAGUCAGAUGUGAAAUCCCUGGGCUUAACCUAGGAACUGCAUUUUGAAACUGAAAUACUAGAGUAUCGUAGAGGGAGGUAGAAUUCUAGGUGUAGCGGUGAAAUGCGUAGAUAUCUGGAGGAAUACCUGUGGCGAAAGCGGCCUCCUAAACGAAUACUGACACUGAGUGCGAAAGCGUGGGGAGCAAACGAGGGAUUAGAUACCCGU